rnacentral:rRNA from 1 species
UAAUAUGGAGAGUUUGAUCCUGGCUCAGAGUGAACGCUGGCGGCGUGCCUAAUACAUGCAAGUCGAACGGACAAGUAAGAGCUUGCUCUUAUGAGUUAGUGGCGCACGGGUGAGUAAUGUAUAGCUAAUCUGCCCUACACUAGAGGACAACAGUUGGAAACGACUGCUAAUACUCUAUACUCCUCUCUAGCAUAAGUUAGAU